rnacentral:rRNA from 1 species
UACGGAGGGUGCGAGCGUUGUCCGGAAUCACUGGGCGUAAAGGGCGCGUAGGUGGCGCGGGCAGUCAACGGUGAAAGUUCGGGGCUCAACCCUGAAUCGGCCGUCGAUACUCCCGGGCUUGAGCACUGUAGAGGCAGAUGGAAUUCCGGGUGUAGCGGUGGAAUGCGUAGAGAUCCGGAGGAACACCCGUGGCGAAGGCGGCCCCCUGGGCCGCGCCUGACGCUGAGACGCGAAAGCGCGGGGAGCGAACGGG